GGGGAAGGUCCCACUGUCCCAAAAUAAGGAGGAUAGCUAAGAAAAACAAGAUGAGCAGAUGAGCAGUACAAAAUCAGUAAAAACAUAAAUCACAGGCCCUCUAGUCAUGAGAGA